rnacentral:rRNA from 1 species
AUACGUAGGGGGCGAGCGUUGUCCGGAAUGAUUGGGCGUAAAGGGCGCGUAGGCGGCCUGUUAAGUCUGGAGUGAAAGUCCUGUUUUCAAGAUGGGAAUUGCUUUGGAUACUGAUGGGCUUGAGUGCAGGAGAGGUUAUCGGAAUUCCCGGUGUAGCGGUGAAAUGCGUAGAGAUCGGGAGGAACACCAGUGGCGAAGGCGGGUAACUGGACUGCAACUGACGCUGAGGCGCGAAAGUGUGGGGAGCAAACAGGAUUAGAUACCCUGGUAGUCCACACUGUAAACGAUGAAUGCUAGGUGUAAGAGGUAUCGACCCCUUUUGUGCCGGAGUUAACACAAUAAGUAUUCCGCCUGGGGAGUACGGCCGCAAGGUUGAAACUCAAAUGAAUUGACGGGG